rnacentral:lncRNA from 1 species
UCAGCAGAAGAAAGAUUCAGACGCAAGGAAGAUUAAUAAACAUAGACAUAAACAAAAACUAUACAUCAAGAGCAUCAAGCUUAUCACUAUAGAUUCAAGCAUUUCCCUCUAAUCUAAUCAGAUCACCAUCAAAAGCAUUAAGGUUUACAGUAGACAUUCGCAGAGAACAAGCAUCAAGCUUUACCGCAGAUGAAAAAGAUAAAACAUCACUCAACUCAACAUCUACACUAAUC